rnacentral:sRNA from 1 species
GCUUAUUCAUUAAGUUUUGUUCUCCUAUAUAUAGUUGUGUUCGUUGAUGAGAAAUGAAUGAGAAGAAGAAGUCUUUGAUAAUCUCUCUGCUGUUACUCUCUCUUCUGAUAUUUUUUUAACACAAUCUACAUAUACAUUUUUAUAACCACUUUGUGAAAUAAAUCCUGGAGUUGAGACUUAUUUACAGUGGCUGCCACUGGCAUUUAAUUAAUUGUUU